CCGCCAGGGUAAGGCUUCGUCUGCAAUAUGCAGGUGACUCUGGCAGGUGGCAGUGUUUUCAUAAGCAAUUUGAUCGAUGUUCCGAGAGUCCCCUUGGAGUCCGGUUAGAGGCCCUGGCGAGGCGCCUCUCUCCCUGCUGCCUAAGGAAGCCGUCAGCAGCUGUCGUGUCCCCCGUGCAGGACCACGCGGACAUCGAGUGGAAGUUCGCCCGCACCAAGCUCUGGAUGAGCUACUUCGAGGAAGGCGGCACGCUGCCCACCCCGUUCAACGUCAUCCCCAGCCCCAAGUCCCUCUGGUACCUCGUCAAGUGGCUGUGGACCCACCUGUGCAAGAAGAAGAUGCGGAGGAAGCCAGAAAGCUUUGGAACGAUCGGGAGGCGAGCUGCUGAUAAUUUGAGACGACAUCAUCAAUAUCAAGUGAGUUACAUUUGCAUUAUUUCUUGAAAUUUGUGUUAAAAUGAAAUACAUUCCCAUCCUCAGAACCGACUUGACUGAGAAGCCACGUUUACUCACUGCGUACCCCCCCUCCGUUGUUUUAAAAUGCCUUAGGAGGUCAUGAGGAACCUGGUGAAGCGCUACGUGGCCGCCAUGAUUAGAGACGCCAAGACGGAAGAAGGCCUUACGGAGGAGAACUUCAAGGUAACCGUCCAUCUGCAUUAGAGACCAGAGCAGCUGCAGGGGAGGGAGCCCAGAGCACCCAUUUAAUACAG
rnacentral:lncRNA from 1 species